rnacentral:rRNA from 1 species
UACGUAGGGGGCGAGCGUUAUCCGGAUUUACUGGGCGUAAAGCGCGUUAAGGCGGUCGGCAAAGUUGGUUGUGAAAUCUCAGGGCUCAACCCUGAAAUUGCGACCAAUACUGGUCGACUAGAGUGCAAGAGAGGAAGGUGGAAUUCCCGGUGUAGUAGUGAAAUGCGUAGAUAUCGGGAGGAACACCAGUGGCGAAAGCGGCCUUCUGGCUUGCAACUGACGCUGUAACGCGAAAGCGUGGGGAGCGAACCGG